rnacentral:ncRNA from 1 species
CAACAUUCGUUGACGAGAACACGUACGUGUCAAGGUAGUCCUCAGAGAGUCGACAGUCGGUGAAAGUCGAUGGCGAAUUGGGACGUAUAUCCUCUCAGAGAUUCCGUGCUGAACGUAAGCAGUAGGCGCGGACGGAUUCCUCCGUUACAGGGAUUGCGCCAACAGGCGUUAACCAAGCGCUGUGUCGUCAUUGCGAUGCAGAAUAAGGGUGGUACCGCGAGUGACAAGCUCGUCCCUUUU